rnacentral:sRNA from 1 species
UACAAAGGAUUCAUCAGUAUUCUCUAAGGACAAAUUUUUAAGACUUUUGUAAGUCUAAUUCAAAUUAUCAACAAAAUAUGACAAUUUAUAUUGGAAGAGUAAUUGAUAUGAAACAAAUCCUUAAAAACUGCAUGUGUUAUAAAAUCCAUGAAAAUUGAUGCCAAGGAAUAUUGAUAAAGCCACAGUAUUUUAUGGUAAUUUAUCUGUUGCAUACAUAGUUACAAGUUUUACCUAUUUAUUUACCUGUGUAUGAAGGCAAUAGACUGUCUCCCUGCCCCAAGCAGUAUCUACACACCUCUACUAGAAUUGGGUGGAGUCAACAAGGAACAUAUCUUUUUGUUACAAAUUUUUUGUCAAGAGAGCUGAAAUAUAUCCUCUGAAUAGUAUUACAAUGCUAUACCAUUAUUAUAGUAUUUCCGUACUUU